rnacentral:rRNA from 1 species
GUGGAUGCCUUGGCGAUUACAGGCGAUGAAGGACGUUGUAGACUGCGAAAAGCUUCGGGGAGCCGUCAAACAGGCUUUGAUCCGGAGAUGUCCGAAUGGGGAAACCCACCCGCAAGGGUAUCCCACGCUGAAUACAUAGGCGUGUGGAGGCGAACCUGGUGAACUGAAACAUCUAAGUAGCCAGAGGAAAAGAAAUCAACCGAGAUUCCGAAAGUAGUGGCGAGCGAAAUCGGACAAGCCGUCGAGUUUUAGCAGCUUUGUUAUCAGAACGGUCUGGAAAGGCCGGCCAUAGUGGGUGAUAGCCCCGUAUGAAAAAACAUCGUUGUGGAACUAGGCUCGACAUAAGUAGGGCGGGACACGUGUAAUCCUGUCUGAAGAUGGGGGGACCAUCCUCCAAGGCUAAAUACUCGUAAUCGACCGAUAGCGAACUAGUACCGUGAGGGAAAGGCGAAAAGAACCCCGGGAGGGGAGUGAAAUAGAUCCUGAAACGAUAUGCAUACAAACAGUCGGAGCCCGCAAGGGUGACGGCGUACCUUUUGUAUAAUGGGUCAGCGACUUACGUUCAGUAGCAAGGUUAACCAAUAGGGAAGCCGCAGGGAAACCGAGUCCGAAUAGGGCGACUAGUUGCUGGGCGUAGACCCGAAACCGGAUGAUCUAUCCAUGGCCAGGAUGAAGGUGCGGUAACACGCACUGGAGGUCCGAACCCACUAGUGUUGCAAAACUAGGGGAUGAGCUGUGGAUAGGGGUGAAAGGCUAAACAAAUCCGGAAAUAGCUGGUUCUCUCCGAAAACUAUUUAGGUAGUGCCUCGUGUAUUGCUCCGGGGGGUAGAGCACUGUUAUGGUUGUGGGGGUCAUUGCGACUUACUGCGCCAUUGCAAACUCCGAAUACCCGGAAGUAUGAGCACGGGAGACAGAGCACUGGGUGCUAACGUCCAGACUCAAGAGGGACAGUCAGGAGGUUGGCUUAGAAGCAGCCACCCUUUAAAGAAAGCGUAAUAGCUCACUGAUCGAGUCGUCCUGCGCGGAAGAUGUAACGGGGCUAAGUCAAUAACCGAAGCUGCGGAUCUCGUAAGAGAUGGUAGGAGAGCGUUCUGUACGCCUGUGAAGGUGAGUCGUAAGGCUUGCUGGAGGUAUCAGAAGUGCGAAUGCUGACAUGAGUAGCGUUAAAAGCAGUGAAAAACUGCUUCGCCGAAAGCGCAAGGUUUCCUACGCAACGUUAAUCGACGUAGGGUGAGUCGGCCCCUAAGGUGAGGGCGAAAGCCGUAACUGAUGGGAAGCAGGUGAAUAUUCCUGCACCGCCGUUCAAUGCGAUGGGGGGACGAAGAAGGUUAGCUCAGCCAGGUGUUGGAUGUCCUGGUUUAAGCGUGUAGUCUUGCCUGGUAGGCAAAUCCGCCGGGCUUAGAUGAGGCGUGAUGACGAGUGGCUUCGGCCACGAAGUGAGUGAUACCCAGCUUCCAAGAAAAGCCUCUAAGCUUCAGUUGAACGGGACCGUACCGCAAACCGACACUGGUGCGCGUGCUGAAUAUGCUCAGGCGCUUGAGAGAACUCAGGAGAAGGAACUCGGCAAAUUGAUACCGUAACUUCGGGAGAAGGUAUGCCCCUAGUAGGUGAAGGAGUACAUCCGGAGCCAAAUGGGGUCUCAGAGAAUCGGUGGCUGCGACUGUUUACCAAAAACACAGCACUCUGCAAACACGUAAGUGGACGUAUAGGGUGUGACGCCUGCCCGGUGCCGGAAGGUUAA